GGGGUGCAGCUCAGUGGUAGAGUGCUUGCCUAUCACACAUGAGGACCUGGGUUCCAUCCACAACACCACA
rnacentral:tRNA from 1 species